rnacentral:lncRNA from 1 species
CAGAACAAAGAAAAUUUCUAAAAAAAUUUUUAUCAAGCUUGAAUUAACAUAUUCAUCAACUGUUUAUCAGUUACAAAGGCUACUUAUGCAAUACAAAAAAUAUUUACAACUGAAACAACAAAUUACAGCAUUGCCCCUAACUAACUUGAAACUAUUCUAGACUUAUUUACAAAACUGCUUCCAAUAAGAUUAACAAACAACUUAACUUAAUUAAUCCUGCUCCUACUCCUGCUCCUUUGCACGUGAUCUGCAAAUGCAUUCUUUAACACUCCUUUCAACAUGAACAUUAUGUAUGCCAAUAAUGUUCAUCUUGUUGAGAAGUGAAAGAAAUUGAGUUGGCGGUAAAGUCUUGGUGAACAUGUUUGCAAGCAGCUAUCUUAUAUGAACUGAUAACUCCAUCAUGCACUUUAUCCCUAAUAAAAUGACAUUCAAUCUCCAUGCUUUUGGUCUUUUCGUGGAAAAUGGUAUUCUUAUGUGUAUGCAAGGCUGAUUGAGUGUCACAUAAAAGUCUAACAGAAUGUACAGGUUCCCUUGCUCCUCAUUGUCACCACUCCAAUUCUCCUUUACCAACUCCUGAAAGCUAGGCUCUUUAAGCCAAAGAUCGAUGAACUUAAAGGGUUUUGGAUCCUAAUUCUUCUUAUUAGUGCCCAAUAGAAUAAGGUUGUGGUCAAAUAUUGACUUAGGAAGGCACGACUAUUUCAAACUCCUUACUACAUUACACAGCUCCACAUCAAGAAGAAAUCUAUCAAGACAACUAAAUGACGGAUUCUAUACGUACCUAGGCUAGGCGUCUUUACCUCCAAGCAAAGGUCAAUCAACCAGCCCAACCUCUUCAAUGAAAUUUGAGAAAUCCAGGAGAGAGCUAGCAUCCUUUACUCCACUACGCUCAUCUCCACUUUGCACCACAUUGAAAUCGACUCCAAGGCACCACCAGAUAUUCGCGACCCUUAUUUCCUCCAAUAAUUCACCUUGUAGCUCUUUUCUUCUACAUACCUCAUUCAGUGCAUACAUGUUGCAUAGCCCACAGUUCACAUUCACUCUGUUCAGCUUACGCACCAAGAUAAUGAAGUGUUUCCUGGCCAUUACAACCUCUGCUGUAAAGAAGGAUUCAUCUUAGUGUUCGGAUGAGCCCUGUAGCUAAUUGAGAUUGGUCAAGGCUUGGUUUCAAUCAUGUAACGAUAUCAUUCAUAUUGAAUGACUAGGGGUUUUUCUUCAUCAAUAAGACAUUAAAUAUAAUGAGUUAUAAGUCUAAUUGGAAGAAGUCCAUGAGAUUAAUAUGCCUUGCAACGGAUAUUGUAAUGGGUUGCGUUAUGAGAUCCCUAUGCAUUAAAGCAUAAUCUCAAAAUGUUCUCGAUCAAUGUAUCAUUGNAUCAUAGAUUGAAGUAUAGAGAUACUUGGAACUAAAAUAUAAGUACUUGCCUAAGAGAAUAAGUUCACUGAACAUAACCCACCAUGAAAAGUACAUUUGGUAAUACACUCCAGUAUUUAUGCAACACUUCUCAUAUGUUAACCGUGUAAAUAUUCUCAAGACUUAAAGACACCAAGUUGUCUUAUAUAUGGAGUGUUAUGCUUUAAUUUCAUCCCUACAGGUGCCUAACCGAGGAUGCCUAAACAAGAUGCUUUUGGGUAUAAAAUGAAGCAUGUGAACGCAAAUGAGUAGUUAAGAUAGGAACCAUCACCUCAAGUGCUUUAGAGGACAUAUUCUUUCAGUUCUUGGUUAACAUUAGCUUAUUGAAGUCCUUGCCUAAGACGACUUGGAGAUUAUAAAAAGAUUUCAUAAGUCUCUACAAAGCUAAUGCUCUAACUGCAAGAACAAAUUUGGAGGUCAAUAAAAGUAGACAUCGUACCAAGCUUUUAUCAUCUCCAGGAUAUAUGAUGACAGAAUGAAUUACACUGAUAGACUGUACACUAAAAGGUUGUCAAAGAACCCUUUAACUCUCCUAACAAUUGGGCGCCCAUGAUACAUUGUUAAAUGCCAAUAUUGGUCUAUGGAAUUGAUUAUAAAUUAAUUGAUUGAAAUUUAUAUUAAUCAAUUAAGUCAUGAAUCAAUUUCAUCGACAACAUGUUAGGAACCUAAUAAGUCACACAUAAUAAUUGCAUUUGAAUUAAAUUAUGAGAGUGAUGAUUUAUAAGUUAGACUUAAAUCACAUGCUAGGUAAUUAACUUCUAUAAACUUAGUUAAAAGAGUUUGAUUACAUUUUUUGGCAUAAUAUAUAAAUAGUUAUAAUUAUAAUGUCGAAAUUGCAAUAAUAAAGAAAAUUAUUUCAAUUUAAUUUGUCACAACCCGGUACUCCCCUCAAGCCCGUGACAACCAUCACGGUGUCCCCGAUAGACACUCAUUACCCGGAAUGCCAAUCGGAACCCCGUAAGGCUUAAUAUCAGUUUCUCAUUUCCCCUACGAGUAACCGUUGCCAAAUAUCAUGUUCUAAAAUAUUUUAAGCUAUUUCCAACUUAAAACAAAUAAAAAAAUGAUUUCUGUCUCACAAGGGCAUUUUAGUCAUCUUUCCCUGAAAAUUUCAAAACCAGCUAAAAAUGUAGUUUGCAAGUACAAAACACAUAAUUCAUAAUCAAAAAUAAGUUUAAACGUCUAAAACCUUCAUUUAAAAUGAAAUUAUGAUUAUUUGGAUAUAAUAAAAAAUAUUCAAUAAAAUAUUUCAUUUUCUUAUAAAACAAUUUUUAUAGACUUAUCUGUAAGAAAUUUUUAUAGCGUAAAAACAAAAUAAAUUCAUACAUACUAUAAUACAGUAAGCCAGAGUAUUUAAUUUAAUUUACAAUAACAAGUGAGCUCCCGAAUAACCAAAAGUAAGGAAGACUGUGAACCUACAGUUUGGAGGAUGCAAAUCCAAUGGUAGCACUCGAUGAAAUCAGCUAGCUACAGACUAUUCUGAGCCUGAAAUGGGUGGAAAGGAGGGUAAUGAGAUUAUAUAAUCCCAGUGAGUAAACAAACACCAUCUAAAAUAUUUAAAGCCGAGUAAAUGGAGACGAUUAAAAUAGGUCAUCAUAAGAUGGUUCAUAACCUCAUAACACAUUUCAUAUCAUCUAAACUAGUUACAUUUCAUUCAAAAUAUACAACGAGGCUUAUGAUUUCCUGAAAAGCUUGGCUCUUGUCAAAAUCAUUCUCAUACUCAGUUAUCAGGGAUACCUUGGUCGAGGGCUAUCCCAACCAAGUCCGUCAAGGCUGUGAAAAAGUCAUGUACGCAUAAAUCAUGUUUUUAUUUUGAAAACAUAGCCGUUCCUUGGCGUUGGCUAAGUUCACCCUCACGUGGUGGUUUGGCGUGAAGUGAACUGUAAAAGUUUUACCUCGAAAGUUACCCUACACGCCUCUCCAAUCGAGGUAAGAAUAUAAAGGGAUUCCUUGCCCCUCUAAUACGCUGGUCCACAGAACUCGCCCACUGUAGCAAGCUAAACCCACCGUACAAUAAAAUUUACGAUAGCAUGACAUGGCAAUUAUUUUAUUUUACAACCUCUCAAGGCAAAUCAACAGUUCAUACAUUUUCAGCACAUUUACCAAUUCAACCAUUCAUGUCAAUAUUGCCAUAAGCCAAUCAAUUAGAAUCAUAAAUUUACAACACAUCAAGUGGUCUCCAAUUACUCUAUUUUCAAAGCCAUCAUUCAAUUUCAAGACAAUUUUAUAAAAUCAUUUCAUUUAAACACAUUUUGUUUAUAAAACCUAAAAAUUAACCAUUUAAACUCAUUUUUCAUAAAAUCACAAAAAUGAAUAAAAACUACUUUAGAUAAUUAAGACGAUAAUAAGGUUACUCACUAUUUCGGGAGUCGAAUUUUUAAAGUACUCCGACUAUCAAUCCUCGGGUACAAUUUCUUUCCCCUUAUCGGAGGAUUCACAACCUAGACAUAAUGCACAAUCAAGCAAUUUACCACAUCGGUGCUAAACCGUUAUAAAACUCUAUGGAUGCAUGAAAUGGAAUGCAAAUUGUUCGGAUUAUCAUCUAAACACGGUGUUCUACACAAAUUCAAUUGUAUACCUACAUAAAACGGCAUUAGCCUAAUUUGAUCUAUCAUUGAAUUAAUUGGCCAAUAUGUCCAAUUCAACUCCAAUUAACUCCAUUUUUCUUCCAAUUCUCCAAACCAUCAAACACAAGUCAAAUAGCAUAAAAUUUAGCAAAAUCAUCUUCACAUUUUCUCUUGGGAAUUUCGGCCAUGGUGGGUGCAUCAAUACUAUGAUUUUUCCUACUUGAUUUUCUCACCGUAAUUCAUCAUUUCCUAACCAACUCACUUGAAAUAAAAUCAAAUCCACCAUCCACACUCUACAUGGAAGAUUCAGCCAAUGAUGGGUGAUGGGAGGAAGUGAAUUUUUCUUGUUGGCUUUCCAUGCUACACAUCACUAACUAACUAAAAACACUAAAAUUCAUUGAAAUCUAACCAAAUCAAGCAUCAAAACCUCCCUCUAAGUGUUCGGCUAGCAAGGGAUUCAUCAUGAUUUCAUGUGAUUCAACCAUGGAAAAUGCAAAAUAACGCAUAGGAAAGGUAGAUCACAAGCUAGAAUUAAGAAAUUUUACCUUUAAUGGCUUGAUUCAUUGAAUUUUCACACUUUUCCCUUGAAUUUUUUCACCUAGGGUUUCCCUUUUGUUCUUGCCUUGGCCGGCCAUAAUGAAGAGAAAUGGCCGGUUUUGUGCUAAUUUAUAAGGAAAAUAAUAAAGAAAUAAAAGCUUGACACUUGUCACCUUACCAUUGGUCCAUUUUUAAAUUCUUAACUAUUAAGCUUUCUUUUUCCACCACAUAAAAUCCUUCAAUUAUCCAUGAUAUAAAAUGCUAAUGGCUGAAAUCCAUGGGCAUGACAAGUGUUGGGUGAUGUAAAAUUAUAAUUUUGCCCUUGGGGUGGCAAAAUGACUAUUUUGCCUUUAUCCUCUGAAAAACGCCAAAAUUAAAAUUCUUCACUUCUCAAACUCAAAUUAUGUUCCAAAUGGUCAAUCUUGGUCAAAAACUUCUUCCAACAUUCCAAUUUUAACCUCAGGUGGCAAAAUGACCAUUUUACCCCUACGUUAUGAAAAUUCCAAUUUGACUCCAAAUCGGUUCUCGAACUCUGAAUCACCAUGUUAACUCAUUCUGGGAAUUUUAAAUUCUAAAUUUCAUCUUAAAAUCUCUAUUUGGACUAGUUCGAGACUUAAUUCAACUUAAUUGUACCAUUUGGUACACUACCGUCUUUUGACGAUUUUUCGAGGCUUUCCAAGUAUGCAAGCAUAUUGUCAAUCACAUGAAUGACAUGGCAAGUAUUUUAUAAGGUCGAGCUUGACAUAAUUUCCAUUAGGCUGAAUUAAAAUAGUUUAAUUAAGUCAUGGGCCCAUCUUGUAAUGUGUUAUAAUAUGAAGGGCCUUAUAGCAACAUUAAAGUUUAAUUUUAACCUAGCUAUAUAGAUCACAUUUAACUAUUUUUUCACAUAUGAAAAAGGCCGAGGAUUAAUUCUAAAUGAAGAAGGCCGAGGAUUAAUUCUAAAUGAAGAAGGCCGAGGAUUAAUUCUAAAUGAAUUAACCAAAAUUUUAUCAAUUGUGAAAAUCUUAUGGAAUUUGCGGAAGAUUCCAGAACAAAGGAAAUUUCUAAAAAAAAUUUUAAUCAAGCUUGAAUUAACAUAUUCAUCAACUGUUUAUCAGUUACAAAGGCUACUUAUGCAAUACAAAAAAUAUUUACAACUGAAACAACAAAUUACAGCAUUGCCCCUAACUAACUUGAAACUAUUCUAGACUUAUUUACAAAACUGCUUCCAAUAAGAUUAACAAACAACUUAACUUAAUUAAUCCUGCUCCUACUCCUGCUCCUUUGCACGUGAUCUGCAAAUGCAUUCUUUAACACUCCUCUCAACAUGAACAUUAUGUAUACCAAUAAUGUUCAUCUUGUUGAGAAGUGAAAGAAAUUGAGUUGGCGGUAAAGUCUUGGUGAACAUGUCCGCAAGCAGCUAUCUUAUAUGAACUUAUAACUCCAUCAUGCACUUUAUCCCUAAUAAAAUGACAUUCAAUCUCCAUGCUUUUGGUCUUUUCGUGGAAAAUGGUAGUCUUAUGUGUAUGCAAGGCUGAUUGAGUGUCACAUAAAAGUCUAACAGAAUGUAUAGGUUCCCUUGCUCCUCAUUGUCACCACUCCAAUUCUCCUUUACCAACUCCUGAAAGCUAGGCUCUUUAAGCCAAAGAUCGCUGAACUUAAAGGGUUUUGGAUCCUAAUUCUUCUUAUUAGUGCCCAAUAGAAUAAGGUUGUGGUCAAAUAUUGACUUAGGAAGGCACGACUAUUUCAAACUCCUCACUACAUUACACAGCUCCACAUCAAGAAGAAAUCUAUCAAGACAACUAAAUGACGGAUUCUAUUCGUACCUAGGCUAGGCGUCUUUACCUCCAAGCAAAGGUCAAUCAACCAGCCCAACCUCUUCAAUGAAAUUUGAGAAAUCCAGGAUAGAGCUACCAUCCUUUACUCCACUACGCUCAUCUCCACUUUGCACCACAUUGAAAUCUACUCCAAGGCACCACCAGAUAUUCGCGACCCUUAUUUCCUCCAAUAAUUCACCUUAUAGCUCUUUUCUUCUACAUACCUCAUUCAGUGCAUACAUGUUGCAUAGCCCACAGUUCACAUUCACUCUGUUCAGCUUACGCACCAAGAUAACGAAGUGUUUCCUGGCCAUUACAACCUCUGCUGUAAAGAAGGAUUCAUCUUAGUGUUCGGAUGAGCCCUGUAGCUAAUUGAGAUUGGU